CCCUCCCCCAAUCCCCCAAUAAAAUCUUUAAAAAAAAAAGUAAACAGUCAAAAUGCGUAUGUUCCUAUUUUGUUACUUCCUUACCUCUUGCAAACUAAAUGAAAAUAACUUUGUGGAGAAAAAUGUUCCUGUGAAAAUCAAGUAGGCUACUUAGAAUGUAGCCACAUUCUACCUCUCUGUUGUUUAACAAUAGCUAUUUACUGUAGAUCUAGGUCAUUUUUGUCAACAAAAACUGUCCUAUAGAUCAAGGGGCUCUCUUUGGGGGAACAGUUCAGAGGAACAGAAAGCUACUGACCCUUGAGCCUGAAAAAUUGGGAACAACUACCUUAAGUUCAUAGGACUGAUUUAAUAGAGAAAAUGAAAGCUUCUGAGAUCACUUCUUAGCACUGCUUCCGCAGACUGGACAACACCACCUCUCAAUUCCUACUGCAUUUCCUAGUGUAGUGUCUGAUUUCCUGGCCCAGAAGCCUCUGCCCCUCCUACACAGUAGGCUGUCUUUCCUGAUCUCCGUGUAUCGCCAAUUACUGUCCAUCUCGAAGUGCCUCGUGUCUUUGAAGCUGUCCCAUACCCCCCAAACGAAAGAGCGCCUGAAUAAGGGGGAGGGAAGGUGUUUAUGAAAUCCUUGGGAUCCGGGAUCAAAACACAGCACGGUGAUGCAUCUCGUGCGAACCUCCGUGACUUAGGUCGGCAUUUCCCGGGCCUUCACGCCCGUUGCGCUAGUCCAGCGGCCGCGGGGCGGCCAGGCCAUACACCUGCUGGUGCCCGGGAAGGGCCAGUCCUGGGCAGAGGUGUUGCCCGACGCAGCGGCUCAGGGCCCCGCUCAUUGGCCAAGUAUCAGACCCUCCCCCUCCUCAGCUGUGUCCAGACGAAACCCGGAGGGGAUUCUCCAGCGGCCCUUCACCCCCAGGGGCCAGGCCUGCGGCUGCCUCAACUCCUGGGGGCUGGCGGCUGAAGCCUGGGGCCUGGGGAGGAGGCCAUAAGCUUAAGAGCAGGCCGCAGUUGGGGUCGGUGGCCUGAGGGGUGCGGGCCGGAGGCCUGAAGAGAACAGGGCCUUUCCCAGGAUGACUCCGCUGACAGGUCAUAAAAGACAUUGCUGCUCCUGUCUUUCUCUUUUGGAUCACUCUCUAGCCAUCAUGCUAUGAGGAUACGUAUGCUGCCCUAUGGAGAGGUAUGUUGCUGAGGAACUGAGGCCUCCCGCCAACUUGCCAACCACCUGAGUGAGCCAUCUUGGAGGAUCAUCGAUCCAGAACCCUCUCCAGACUCUAUGGACACACCACGUCCUCUGGGGAAGUCUCUUUCUCUAAAGGCCACUCACUCCCUACAGCCCUUGUAGCUGCCUUCAAUAAUCAUCUGGCACAGAGGGAAGAGGUUUAUGGGGCUCCUGGCCCUGAGUAGUGAGUCACGGGAUGUUAUGCUCCCCUUCCGUGGCACGUGGGCCAGGCCCAGGGGACUUUACCCUGGCACCUGGGGCACUGCAUCAUACCUUAGACCCCAUGGGCCUGUCUAUGCCAACUGUUCUGGCUUAAGCUUCUGGAUCAAAUGACCUAUUGGUUUGAUUCCAUGAUUUGGGAUGAUUCUUUGAUGAGGAUGACUUUGAAGCAUGUGACAGGGAUCUCAAACUAUAAGAAAAUAAUACCUCCUUGCCCCCUCUUUCUGAGGGUGCUUCAGACACCACAGAGGCUCAAGGGGAAAUCCAGAGGAAGAGGUGGGGCGGACCCCAUCCUUUCAGGGAGGUCAUGGGGGUUGGGGGAGGAACAGCACACGCGUGGAAAGAAUCUGCUCCGUGAUACACCAAAUAUUUAAGCAAGCCUAAGCUAUGCGGAAAUGAAAGGAGAGAUGGUGGGUGCUUUCCUCUCCAGCGUCACCGCCCCCAGGCCUGUGUCAUCCAUUCUGGGAAGAGCUCCUCUGAGAACCCUGCCACUGGGGAGGAGGAAGGACCCUCGGGGAUUGUCUCUUUCAGUUGCUCCAUUUGGCAGAUGAAGAAACUGAAGGCCCAGACCAUUUUCCCUGCUGCGUUUCCUGCCCCCUACUCAGCUGGGACCUGCUUGAGCACUAAAGCUCCUCCCAUUAGUAACACAGACUUUGGGGGCAGUUCCAAAUAAGAAGUCUGUCCCUCAGCUGUGUGAUGGUCCACAAGUCACUUAACCUCUCUGAACUUCAGUUCUUGAUACGUCCAAUGAGAAUCACAAUACCCAGAAUCAUUCGCCGACAAAUCAAGGGUACAGAAGAACGGGAGGGAAGGCGAUUGUUAGAGAUUAAAGGAGACUGAUGAGACAAGACAAAAACAACAAAUGCCUUGUGUAAG